UACGAAGGGGGCUAGCGUUGCUCGGAAUCACUGGGCGUAAAGGGCGCGUAGGCGGCCAAGUAAGUUGGGGGUGAAAGCCCGUGGCUCAACCACGGAAUUGCCUUCGAUACUGCUUGGCUUGAGACCGGAAGAGGUGAGUGGAACUGCGAGUGUAGAGGUGAAAUUCGUAGAUAUUAGGAGGAACACCGGUGGCGAAGGCGGUUCUCUGGGCAUGACCUGACGCUGAGGAGCGAAAGUGUGGGGAGCGAACAGG
rnacentral:rRNA from 1 species